GAUGAACGCUGGCGGCGUGCUUAACACAUGCAAGUCGAACGAUGAAGCCCAGCUUGCUGGGUGGAUUAGUGGCGAACGGGUGAGUAACACGUGAGUAACCUGCCCUUAACUCUGGGAUAAGCCUGGGAAACUGGGUCUAAUACCGGAUAGGAGCGCCUACCGCAUGGUGGGUGUUGGAAAGAUUUAUCGGUUUUGGAUGGACUCGCGGCCUAUCAGCUUGUUGGUGAGGUAAUGGCUCACCAAGGCGACGACGGGUAGCCGGCCUGAGAGGGUGACCGGCCACACUGGGACUGAGACACGGCCCAGACUCCUACGGGAGGCAGCAGUGGGGAAUAUUGCACAAUGGGCGAAAGCCUGAUGCGGCGACGCCGCGUGAGGGAUGACGGCCUUCGGGUUGUAAACCUCUUUCAGUAGGGAAGAAGCGAAAGUGACGGUACCUGCAGAAGAAGCACCGGCUAACUACGUG
rnacentral:rRNA from 1 species